rnacentral:misc_RNA from 1 species
AGAGAUCUUUUCUCCAUCAUCUCUUUGAGUUCACAUAGUAACUCAAUACCACUUGUGUCUAUAGCUGUAACAGCUGUCAUGUCUAGAAUUAUGCAUUUAAGUGCACUUCCAUUAUUUGCUUUUAUCCUCUCUUCUUCCUCACGAACCCACCUUAGUAUCCUUUCUUGGAGGUAAGUAGAGUUUGCGAAGUAGAUCGGGGACUCAAUAGCCAGCAUGAGAAAUGAAGGAACUCUUAGAGCU